UAGGGAAUAUUGCUUAAUGGGCGAAAGCCUGAAGCAGCAACGCCGCGUGCGCGAUGAAGGCCUUCGGGUUGUAAAGCGCCUUUAGCUGGGAAGAGGAAGGACGGUACCAGCGGAAUAAGCCUCGGCUAACUACGUGCCAGCAGCCGCGGUAAAACGUAGGAGGCGAGCGUUAUCCGGAUUUACUGGGUAUAAAGCGCGUGCAGGCGGUUUGCUAAGUUGGGUGUGAAAGCUCCUGGCUCAACUGGGAGAGGUCGCCCAAGACUGGCAGACUGGAGAGCAGUAGGGGAAGGUGGAAUUCCGGGUGUAGUGGUGAAAUGCGUAGAUAUCCGGAGGAACACCAGUGGCGAAAGCGGCCUUCUAGACUGCAUCUGACGCUCAGACGCGAAAGCUAGGGUAGCAAACGG
rnacentral:rRNA from 1 species